rnacentral:SRP_RNA from 1 species
GCCGGGUGUGGUGGCUCACGCCUGUAAUCCCAGCAUCUUGGGAGGCUGAGGCGGGCGGAUCACCUGAGGUCAGGAGUUUGAGACCAGCCUGGCCAACAUGGCAAAACCCCGUCUCUA